AAUGUUGAACAUGGCAAAAGACUUGCAUCUUCAUUAGGCCGUAUGCCUACACCACAUGAGUUGUUUCUUUUUACUCACACUAAGAAGCAUGAUGGACAAACUUUUAUUGAUGAAAAGUCUAAAUCACUCAAUGAUAAAGUAUUGAGCUUGAGAGAGGCACC